AACGAACGCUGGCGGCGUGGAUAAGACAUGCAAGUCGAACGAGAACUUUCGUUGUAGCAAUACAGUGAAAGUUCUAGUGGCGAACGGGUGCGUAACACGUGGGCAAUCUGCCUUAAAGUGGGGGAUAGCUCGGCGAAAGCCGGAUUAAUACCGCAUGUGAUUACCGGAGAAUUCUUCGGAACAUCAAAGUCGGGGCAACCUGACGCUUUUUGAGGAGCCCGCGGCCUAUCAGCUAGUUGGUGAGGUAACGGCUCACCAAGGCGUUGACGGUAGCUGGUCUGAGAGGACGACCAGUCACACUGGAACUGAGACACGGUCCAGAAACCUACGGGUGGCAGCAGUCGAGAAUUUUUCUCAAUGGGGGAAACCCUGAAGGAGCGACGACGCGUGGAGGAUGAAGGUCUUCGGGUUGUAAACUCCUGUCAUUUGGGAACAAUGCUUACGUAUUAACUGUACGUGAGUUGAUAGUACCAGAAGAGGAAGAGACGGCUAACUCUGUGCCAGCAGCCGCCGUAACAC
rnacentral:rRNA from 1 species